rnacentral:tmRNA from 1 species
GGGGGUGCACCGGUUUCGACUGGUGCGGUUCGGGGUACAGGCUGCAGGUGGAGCGCCUAUCUCCUGAUUAGGCAAAAAUUUAACUGCCAACAACGACAGUUACGAUUACGCCUUAGCUGCGUAACCGCGUGGAACCUUUCCGCCGCCUUGAGGAAAGGCUUCCGCGUCACAAUCAAGGC